CCCAGGCCCAUAAGUACAUCGCCCGACGGUGGUUAACACCGCCCGGCGGUAGGCAGGACACCUAAUCCACCCUCAGCGCUGCCGCUUGAGCGUUCUCUUUAAAUUCCACUAACGAGUCCACUGCCCGGCGGUGGCUGCGAUUCCAUCUUCACCUCUUGGCGGUGCCCUUUAAGCGCGUGACAGUGUAAUCAUAGAAGGUCUCACCGCCCGACUGUGCUAUCACCGCCCAACGGUGGCUGCAGUUCAACUCUGCUUCAUUCUUCCACCUUCUUCUACAUCCAACACUUCUCUUCCUUCAAUUCAUUCAUCAAACUCCUGAUAAAUCCUGUCAAAACAAAGGAAACCAAGCAUAAAACCUAGAAAACCUACUUUGACUCUCUUCCUCUCUAACUUAAGCAUUUUGCAUGAUUUCAAGCUAAUUCUAAGUCAUAA
rnacentral:lncRNA from 1 species